rnacentral:rRNA from 1 species
UCGAGGAUCUUCGUCAAUGGGGGCAACCCUGAACGAGCGAUGCCGCGUGCGCGAUGAAGGCCUUCGGGUUGUAAAGCGCGAAAGUGGGGAGAAAAGCCGAAAGGUGUGAUCUAUCCACAGUAAGCUCGGGCUAAGUUCGUGCCAGCAGCCGCGGUAAGACGAACCGAGCGAACGUUGUUCGGAAUAACUGGGCUUAAAGGGCGCGUAGGCGGGCUGUCAAGUCUGGGGUGAAAUCCCGCGGCUCAACCGCGGAACUGCCUCAGAUACUGACGGCCUCGAGGGAGAUAGGGGCGAGCGGAACGAAUGGUGGAGCGGUGAAAUGCGUUGAUAUCAUUCGGAACUCCGGUGGCGAAGGCGGCUCGCUGGAUCUCUUCUGACGCUGAGGCGCGAAAGCUAGGGGAGCAAACGG